GAGUUUGAUCAUGGCUCAGAUUGAACGCUGGCGGCAUGCCUUACACAUGCAAGUCGAACGGCAGCAUGAUCUAGCUUGCUAGAUUGAUGGCGAGUGGCGAACGGGUGAGUAAUACAUCGGAACGUGCCCUGUAGUGGGGGAUAACUAGUCGAAAGAUUAGCUAAUACCGCAUACGACCUGAGGGUGAAAGUGGGGGACCGCAAGGCCUCAUGCUAUAGGAGCGGCCGAUGUCUGAUUAGCUAGUUGGUGGGGUAAAGGCCCACCAAGGCGACGAUCAGUAGCUGGUCUGAGAGGACGAUCAGCCACACUGGGACUGAGACACGGCCCAGACUCCUACGGGAGGCAGCAGUGGGGAAUUUUGGACAAUGGGGGCAACCCUGAUCCAGCAAUGCCGCGUGUGUGAAGAAGGCCUUCGGGUUGUAAAGCACUUUUGUCCGGAAAGAAAUCGCACUUACUAAUAUUAGGUGUGGAUGACGGUACCGGAAGAAUAAGGACCGGCUAACUACGUGCCAGCAGCCGCGGUAAUACGUAGGGUCCAAGCGUUAAUCGGAAUUACUGGGCGUAAAGCGUGCGCAGGCGGUUGUGCAAGACCGAUGUGAAAUCCCCGGGCUUAACCUGGGAAUUGCAUUGGUGACUGCACGGCUAGAGUGUGUCAGAGGGGGGUAGAAUUCCACGUGUAGCAGUGAAAUGCGUAGAGAUGUGGAGGAAUACCGAUGGCGAAAGGCAGCCCCCUGGGAUAACACUGACGCUCAUGCACGAAAGCGUGGGGAGCAAACAGGAUUAGAUACCCUGGUAGUCCACGCCCUAAACGAUGUCAACUAGUUGUUGGGGAUUCAUUUCCUUAGUAACGUAGCUAACGCGUGAAGUUGACCGCCUGGGGAGUACGGUCGCAAGAUUAAAACUCAAAGGAAUUGACGGGGACCCGCACAAGCGGUGGAUGAUGUGGAUUAAUUCGAUGCAACGCGAAAAACCUUACCUACCCUUGACAUGCCACUAACGAAGCAGAGAUGCAUUAGGUGCUCGAAAGAGAAAGUGGACACAGGUGCUGCAUGGCCGUCGUCAGCUCGUGUCGUGAGAUGUUGGGUUAAGUCCCGCAACGAGCGCAACCCUUGUCUCUAGUUGCUACGAAAGGGCACUCUAGAGAGACUGCCGGUGACAAACCGGAGGAAGGUGGGGAUGACGUCAAGUCCUCAUGGCCCUUAUGGGUAGGGCCUCACACGUCAUACAAUGGUGCAUACAGAGGGUUGCCAAGCCGCGAGGUGGAGCUAAUCCCAGAAAAUGCAUCGUAGUCCGGAUCGUAGUCUGCAACUCGACUACGUGAAGCUGGAAUCGCUAGUAAUCGCGGAUCAGCAUGCCGCGGUGAAUACGU
rnacentral:rRNA from 1 species